AAUUCGCUCGCUGUUCGUUGGAAUAAUUUCAAUUUUUAAAUUUAUUAUGCCGGAAGAUUUACAAUUGUUACGCGCUACUCCCAUAAGAAACAGGGUAAACAUACCGCCUAUUUGACCAAGUUGCGGAUACAUAUAUGUGUGUAUAAUACGAUGGACAAUCCAUGGUGCCGCAGCUUAAUUUGCGUUAAACACACAUAUAUAUAUUAGCACAGAUUUUUGUAAGUACUCUAUGGCUGAUAAAUAUUAGUGCUAUGAUUAUGUGACUAAUUUUUUACCUGUUUUAGUAUAAUUCUGAUGAGGGUGCAAUAUUAGCACCGAAAGCUAAAGAAAUAAAAUGACAUAAUACUUAUCAA